CCAAUAUAGCCGUCCCCGUCGUUCUUUUUUUGGUUGCAAAUAAGCACUUCUCUUACUACCUUCAGUGCCAACAACUCCAACACUAAGAUUCACUGGAUAAUAGUUAAACCCAUAAACCUUAUUUGCUUAGAAAACAAGGUAAACCUUGUAGUGCGUCAUGGGUGAAAGCAUGGAGAUACUAAUCUUUCCACGGAUUUCAAACCAGCAAACGCUCAGAAGCUCUGCUACCUCGUCAAACCUAUUUUAACAACAAUAGAAAAUGAAUUGCCAAAGAGAAGUUCUCUUAUUCAAACACAGGUAUCCAUCAAAGAUGAAUACGCAAGUAUUUUCUCUUAAAAGAUUUUCAAUUAUUUUGAAUUUAAAAGAUGGAUAAGCAUCCUAUUGUUAUCAUUUAGACCCAACCAGCAUGGCAAGGAGGAGAGAAUAACCUGGCCUCGGGUAUAGACACCCAUCUCCAAUAAUCUGGGGUGUCACUCCAUAUAAUGGAGAGGUCCCUGGGUGACAGCAUGUAACAUUUCUUCCCACUCACUCUGUCCAGCCAAAAACUCUGUUUCAUCAAUACCAACUAAGUUAUAUGUAACGAACAAAAGAAUUAAAAAUAGAUAUAAACAACAUAGGAAUUGUUAAGAAAAAGAUUCAAGCAACAAUGGCAUAGUUCAUAAUUAAUAUGUCAAAAGCUUCUCCAAAGUACUUUCUAAGCUUCUUACUUCUGUUAGUUGCCUUUUUUUUUUUUUCUUUUUGGUGAAUCUAGUAAAUUCCGAACAACAAACACGAUUAGAUAAAAUCAGACAUAUAAGGGAAAUAUUAGACAAAAUUUCCAUAUAAAUUAAAAUAAUAUAUCUUAAUAAUUCAAUUAUUUAAAUUUGUUCUCGUUUUAUCCCAAUACAGUUUUUGCCUUCAAAAAUCAAAAGAAAAAAGAAAAAGAAUAACCAGAUAAAAUUCCUUGCUGCUUUUUUCCCAUGUAAGGGAAACAAGCCAUAUCCAGAUUAAAGGAAAAUAAUAUUUCAAGAACUUAAAAUUCAAAAUAAUAAUAUGAUUGGACAAAACAACAUGUGAUAUUAAUAGGAUUACAAUGAUUUUGCUUUCAGAAAAUGAAGCAUCCAAAAGCUAAAUAUGACUCUUUAGAUUUUCAGAUUUUUAACCUGUAAACCCUAAAUGGACAUUAAAUUAUAUAACAAUGCUAGGGAAAUUUUUAUUACAACUUGAAAGAGAAAGGAUGAAAUUACCUUUCGUCCAGCUUCAAUGAGAAGGGGAUUUUCACAGAGGCUAAGAUAAAGUUGUUUCUUGGACGAGAAAGAGAGCGAUGAGGGAAUUAAUGCCUGGAAUUGGGAUGGCAAGAAGCUUUCCCAAACAGCAUCGGAUUCAGUAGCCGAAUUUAAAGCAGUUGAAACAAGCGACAAUCUACAGGCAUCUCGAGGGGAGGUAAAGGAAAUAAUGAGGGUGAUACAAUCUAGUGGGAGAGCACUCAGGUCGAGAGUGCCGCUCAUAACCUCUCCUUUUCCUUUUCUUUCUUCCAUUUCAGAAACCUCGGUUUUCAUAUCAGAAAAAUCGAUUUGUAGUAAGCGAGAUACCAAGUAUACAUAAACGUAGAAAAAUAGGGAAUGGGAAAGCACUGAGCUUAGCGAUUAAGUCAUUGACUUGACCAAAGUCAGUUAAGUUGAAUUUUUAAAAUGUAUCAUCUUACCCAUUAUUUUAUUAAAAUAUAAAAAAUAAAAAUAUUCUCGUAUUAAUAUUUUCUUCUUUGUAAAAAAAUAAUGUCAAUCAAUGAUGGCUCUAGAUGAGUGGUGCGUUUAUCUGUGUUUAGUGUAAAAAUAGCGAUGAUGAUAAGAUUAAAUACUAUAACGAAAUUGUAACACAAGACAGAAAAAAAUAAGCGAAACGCAUUGCACCGCCCAUCCAAACCUAUCCUAAGCUGAUUUUGGUUGAUGCAUGAUACAACUCAAUCAAAUGCUUAAUACAUGACAAGUGUUAGUGCAAUGAUAAGGCACAUUAUAUUUUUUAUAAGAGAACGAAAAUUUAAACCUUGAGAUGACAUUGUUGAGAGAGAUAACUAUAAACAGUACUGAAUAAGAAAAACUGAAAAACGAUUCAAAUUGAGGUAUUUGGACGUUUUGUAACGCCCCCUUACCCGAGACCGUCGCCGGAGUCGAACACGAGGCAUUACUAAACUUAUUUGAGCACUAAAACAAAUUCAGACAAUUUAUAUCAUACUUUCCAGACAAGCUGUCUAACUGCGUCAUAGUCGCAAAAAAAAUCAUAUCUUGAGUUACAAAACUCGAAAUCCAAAUUCGUAAAUUUUCGCCGAAUCUAGACUCAUAUAUCUAGUUACUAAUUUUUUUCUAGAAUUUUUGGUUGGGCCAAUUAGUACAGUUUAUUAGUUGAAGUCUCCCAUGUUUCAGGGUUCAGCUACUCUGACCCCUGUGAACUACGAACCAAAUUUCUCCCUGUACAAAAUUCAAAUAACCAAGCCGUUUGUUUCUAUUAAAAAUAGACUCAAUAAGGAAUCCAUACAUAUACAGUGUGACUCCUAAUUAUUUUUGUACAAUUUUUAAUGAUUUUUACAAAUCAGAAUAGGGGAGCUCAAAAUCACUCUGACCUUAUCUCACAAAAAUUCAAAUAUCUCCUGAUAUGAAAGUCUUUUUCUUACACCGUUUGUUCUAUGUUAAACUAGAUUCAAUAAGCUUUAAUUUCAUAUUUUAUUCAACCUCUAAUUAUAUUUUCAUAAUUUAUGGUGAUGUCGAAACCAUCCCUCUAAUUUUAAGUUUAAUAGAAAAAAUGGGGAAUCGACUGUUUGAAAAACAAAUACAUGGAGUCGCCACCGAUCUUUUGUUUUGGUGUGAUCAGAUUACCUAAAAAUGAGGUUAGUUUAAUAAAACAUUUUUGGUUUAUUAAGGCAACGAUUUUGGUCUACGAACUUUUGAGAAAAACGGGUUCGGGAGUCAGUUACGUAUGAGGAAGGAUUAGCACCCUCACUACGCCCAAAAUUGGUACCGAAUCGAUUAAAUACUGUCUUUAUGUCUAAAAUUAAAAAGUUUUUGAAAUGUGGUUCUUUUUUAUAACGUUUGAAUAACCCGAGUUGGUUGCCAAAAUCUUCUUGUUUCGAUGUCCGAAAGUUUAUAAUUCGAGAAUUACAAAAGGAUGCUCAACUAUUUAGUCUAACGAAAAAUCGAAACCCAGCACAGUAGGGUACGAUUCCCCGAAUUUCCAAACAUUGACCAUUGCCUUACCUUAUAAAAUACGUGUGAAAUUCCGAGGAGAUAUUCGAUUAUUUUGGACAAAUGAAAAAGCGCAACCCAGCACGAUAGGGCUCGAUUCUCAAAUCGCCCAAACAUCGAACAUCGUCUUCAUUUUGAAAGAUUUUAGAAAAUGUGAGUGAAAUUCCGAAGGGAUCUUCAAUUGUUUCGGAAUUUGAAAAAGUGCAACCCAGCACGGUAGGGCACGAUUCUCAAAUCGCCAAACAUUGAACCUCGUCUUCGUUUUUAAGUAUUUUUUUUUUAAACAUGAGUGAGAAUAUAAAGGAAUGUUCGAUCGUUUUGAGCAAACGAGAAAUCACAACCCAGCACGAUAGGGCAUGGUUCUCGAAUUAUCAAACGUCGAAUAUUGCCUUUGUUUUAAAGGAUUUUUAGAAGACAUGAGUGAAAUUUCGAAGGAAUAUUUGAUUAUUUUGAGCAAACGAGAAAUUGCAACCCAACACGUCAGGGCACGAUUCCGCGAAUUGCCAAAUAUCAAACUUUACCUUCAUUUUAAAGAAUUUUUUUUAAAGGCAUGGGUGAAAUUUUGAAGGGAUAUUCGAUUAUUUUAAGCAAACGCGAAAUUGCAACCCUUAUUUUAAGCAAACGCGAAAUUGCAACCCAACACAUUAGGGCACGAUUCUGCGAAUUGCCAAACAUCAAAUCUCGUCUUCGUUUUCAAGAAUUUUUGAAUGAAUAAUUAUAAAGCUAGCUUAAGACGUAUUAAUUCGAUUUGAAAUAAGACGAAACUAAUCAUAAAAUUCAAUUUUUAUAGAAAAACCACAUUUCAAAAAAGAACAAGAUGGAAAACGAUGAUAUAAGGUAAUAGGCAUAUACGAGGUGUGAUCAACUAACAUACUAAUAAUUAAACGGGACUAAUCUAAAAAGGUAAUGCGAUUGCAAUAAUGCAUGGAGAGUAGUUGAUGUGAUGACAUAUAAAAAUGCGCAAACACGACGUAGCAAAUAUACAAGAAGUAUCGUGAAGAUAAUUAACACAUGAGAUACCAACGAUAUAGAACCAACACGACACAAAAAUAAUGGACUAAAAAUGAUGGACUAACAAUCAAUUAAUAUAUGUUAGAAUUUGAAAUAAUUUAUAAAAGAAAAAAUUAAGAAUGUGUAUAUACGUAUGAGUGAAUUUUGAAGCAACUAUAUACAAAACAACAUGGAAUUAACAAAUAUGAAUUAUAUAUAAAGAAAAAUGGAUUGAUUUUAUCACAAAUUAUAUAUAUGUAUGAAAAUAAACUAGAAAUAAUUGCUUGUAAAAAACAUAGAAACGUACUCAAGACUGAAUUAUUUUUAUUAUAAAUUAUGAUGGACUUAUAAGCACGCUUAUGUAUAAAGAAAACUAUAUAUAUAUAAAAUUUAGGUUUGAUAAUGUAUGUAAAUCAAAAACAUGUACUAAUGUAAAUGAAUAUAAAAUAACUUAAAUUUUAUGUAAAACAUAUAUACAAAGCAUAUUUGAAUAGCAAGAAUAUGUAUUAAAAUACAUGAUCAGAUAUAUUUAGGAAAUAAGUGGUAAAUAAAAUGAAUAAUGGUUCAAGGUAGAUAUAUAUAUACAUAUAUAAGUACAAGAUACAUAAUACGAAAGAAGAAACUUAAAGUGGAUAAUAAAUAAAAUAUUUUAAAGUAAAUAAAUAAAGUUUAAGGAUAUACUUAAAAUAAAAUAUAAAUAGUUUAAAAUAUAAUUCAUGAAAGGAAAUAUGAAAUAGAACAUUGUAUACAUAAAAAGAUUUAUAUAUGAAUAAUAUAUAUAAAAACGUUAAAAAUAGAUAAUGUUAAUAUAUACAUAAAAGUUUAAAACAAUAAUAUUCAAAUAAUAAAACUCACACCAAAUAAUGAAACAAUUUUUUAAAAUAUAUAUAUGCACAUAAAAAAAUAUUUAAAACAAAAUGUAUAUAAAACUAUUCAAAAUGAGUAACAUGAAACAAUUUAAUAUAAAGUUUAAAAUAACUAAAAUGGUUUGAAAUAAACAAAAAGGUUUAUAUCACAUGAACAAAGGCUUGAUCGAAAUUAAACUAAAACAAUAGGGGAAAAUUGAGAAAAUAGAACAAAUAACAAGGGGGACCAAUGUGCGAGGCGCGAUAAUGCAGAAGGAUCUAAACUGGAAAUAUACCAGUCCUCACACCGCAGCAUUAAGACGCGGACUAAAGUGCAAAUAUGUAUAAAUUAUAGGGCAGAUUAAAAAAUAGAGGAAACUGGAUUCGGUCUAAUUAAGCACCAGUGCAAAAGGAAGGGACUAAACGUGAAAUAAUCCCCUCUAUGCGAGAGCAUACGGGUCUUAGGGUGGAGAAACGGGUCGGGUUAGGCGUGGCUAUACGACACCAUUUGGAGAGCCAUUAGGCAGGGCCUAAAACGAUGCCGUUUGAGGUUGUAUAAAAGGGCUAAAUCGGUAGCUUUGGCCGAACCUAAACCCUAGCAUCAUUUCUUUUCUCCUCAACAGCCCCUAAACCUCUUUUCUCCAAUGCCAAGCCGCCACCACGUCGAUGACCGGCAUCCUCAGGCUAUGUGCGAAUGCUUUGUGGCCUUGAGGUUCCCCUUAAGUCUCCGAUUUUGGCGAAGCAAAGGAGAACCGAUGGCCUAUUUUCCAAGUAAGGUUUCGUUUCCUUUUUCUUUUAUUUAGAUGUAAAGAACGCAAAAGAAAAUCAAAAAGGCAAAUCGAAAGAGAAAAGAGCGUGAUAAACCCAGAGAUUCAAAGCAAAAAAUCACCUUGUUCUAUUUUUUCUUUCUAUUCCUUCUGAAUGCGCGUGUAAAAAAAUACAGGGAUUUGGGGCUCGACUUUAUAGCCGGAAGAAAAUGAAAAUAAAAAAAAACCAAAGUCAGAAACACAAUUUGUUUCUAUUUGCUGCUGUUGUUUUUUUUUUUGUAUUUGCAGGUACGGAUGCUGCUGUUGGCAUCUGUACGGGGGUGCGGGCGUGGUGUACAAAGGCUGUGGCGUGGCUGCUGGACGUUGGAGCGUACGGAGGCCUAGAGUGGCUAGGCUGCUAGUAAGGGCUGCGGUGCAAGGGAACCCUUGCCCUAGGGUUUGCUAACAUUGGGCUCGUUUUUUAUAUUGGGCAUAUUGGGCCUGUACUUGGGUCCUGGGUUUUAAAAAUUGGGUCAAUAAACUGUUAAUAUUGGUUGUAAUAUUUGGACUUUUAUGAUAGACCAUUAGUCUGGUAUUAUUCUUUGGACUUUUGGUUUAAUAACUUGGUAUUUAUUUUGGGCUUUAGCUCUAACGUGGGCCCAGGCAAAUUGGCCCAUUUACAGGUGAAUUUUCAAAGUCAAACUACCGCUACUAACCAAAAACUGUUUUAGUACAAAAAUGUUGUUAACUAGUUUGUAACAUAUUUACUUCAUUUCAUUUAAACUCUAUACAUGCCACAUAAAUCUUUAAACAUAAAACAAAAACUACCGGAAUUGAUCUGGAUAGUGUGCCUUGUUGUGUUGAUCCGAUCUACCCACUUCACUUCAAUUCAAUCUACAUAAAUAUAUUAAACACACACAAGUAAGCUUAUUGAAGCUUAGUAAGUUCAUAGGUUUAAAAGUAAUGCUUACCAAACAUAAAAUUUCCAAACAAUACCAAAACAUUUACUAAAGUUUCUUGUCAUUCACAACCACUGUUAUAAUAAUUCACAUAGUUGAGCUCAACAGUAACAACUACUCAAUCUCUUUCAUUUGGAUCACUUCUCUUGUAUUUCUUAUUAUCAAAUUAGGAAACGGCUUACGAAAUUGAGUACGCCGUUGUUCAGUGCCACGAUUCAUAACUCAGUAUGGUUUUCCUCAUUGAAAUACCAUACCUACAUUUUACAACUCGGUAUGGGAAAUGCGAUACCUACAUUUCUUAACUCAGUAUGGAUUUGAUAAUACCAUACCUACAUAUCACAACUCAGUAUGGAUGAUACCAUACCUACAUUUCACAACUCAGUAUGGAUGAUACCAUACCUACAUUUCACACUUUGCCAUGGAACAACCAUGGUCUUAUCCGUCAAUUCAUCACAUGUCACGAUACGAACGUACUCAAUCCUGCGUUUUUCCUAAUUUGCAUUUCCACAUUUAUUCUUUCAUUAACAAAAUUUACAUAAUCCCACAACAAAUUCAUAUAUAAUAACACAUUAUAUACUUCAAUCAUUCACAAAUAAACAUCUAAAUUCAACCAUAUGAACUUACCUGGCUAAUUUGUAGAAGAUAUUGAAAUUUAGGGACUAUUCUGCAACUUUUUCUUUUCCUCGUUCUUCUUUGGAUUCUUGAUCUAUAAUAUAAAAUAUUUCUACUCAUUAGCAUUUAUUUGAUUUCUAUUUCACUUCACAAUUUAUGCUGUUCAAAUUUCAAAAUUUCACUUUUACCCCAAAAUUUAUAGUUUUUACAAUUUAGUCCCAGCUCAAUUCACCCAUCAAUUGAACUAAUUUUUCUCAAUUAACACUUUAUUUUAUCAUUAUAAACUAUUUCAAAACCUUUUAUAUUCUGAAUUUCAACAGCAACCUUCAAUUCACAACUUUUUCACAAUUAGGUCCUAAAUAUCAUUUCCUAUCAAAAUCUCUUAAUAAAACCACCUUAAUAUGAAAUGAGAACUUAAAUUUCGUAAUAAUUCAUUAUAAAAUUCCCUUAUCCAUCCAGGGUAACUUCCAAUUUCACCCAUAAAAUUAAAAACUAAUGAAUUCUAUAAGUGGACCUAAUUGUAAAAGUCAUAAAAACAUAAAACUUAUCAAGAAAAAGCAAGAAUUAAACUCACAUGAUGUAAAAAUAUGAAAAACCAGCUUUCUCCAGACCUUCUAUGGCGUUUUGGCUGAGAAAAUAUGAAGAGAUCUCUAGAUUCUUCAAUUUUGUCCUUAUUUUAUAUGUUGAAAUUGUAAAAUUUCCAAUUUUACCCUUAUUUCCCUUAUUUUUCUGCAGAUUUUCUUGCCCUUGCCGUCCAGCCUAUUCACUUUUAGGCUUAAUUGCCCUUUAAAUCCUCUUUAUUUUAACACUUGAGCUAUUUAAUACUUCUAGCAAAUUUUGCAUUUAUUACAAUUUAGUUCUUUUUAUUCAAUUGACUACCCAAUCGUUAAAAUUUCUCAACCAAACUUUAAUACUAGCUAAAUGACACUUCAUAAAUAUUUAUAAAAAUAUUUAUAGCUCAAUUUCAAAUUCGAGGUCUCGAUACCUCGUUUUUGACCCGUUUGACCUAAUAAAUUCUUUUAAUUCACCAAUUUCACCAUUUCACAAAUUCUUCUAAAUUCUUACUUGACUCAUAAAUAUUAAAUUACUAUCUUGUUCAAUCUUAUUUGUCGGAUUUAGUGAUCUCAAAUCACCAUUUUCGACACCACUGAAAAUUAGGUCGUUACACGUUUUAUGAAAUGCAAAUUUAAAAAUCUCGAUUACUCGAAACCAAAUCGAAUUUAAUUUUUUUAAUUUUUUUAUAAUAUAAAAAAAUAUUUUAUAUUUAAAAUAGUAAAAAAAUUAAAAGAUCUUGAAAAAUUAUUGUAUUUUAAAAAUAUUUAUAAUUUUUUAAAAAUUUUAUCAACUAAUAUAAAAAAAUCAUAAAAUAAAAUUUAUUUUAUAAAAAUAAAUUUAAAAUUAAAAAAUUUAUAAACAACUAAAAUAAAAUCAAUUAAAUCCCUAAAAAAUGCAUUAAAAUUAUUUUAUAUUAAUAGUAUUGAAUGUUUUUAGAAUUUGUUUAAUUUAUAAUUCAUUUUGUACCGCUUAUUUUUUCAGUGGUGGUGGUUUUGGAACUCUAUUUUUUAUUUUUGAGUCCUUAAAUAUUAUUAUUUAAUAUUGUAAAGAUUAAUUAAAGUUUGGUCCUUUAAUUUUGUCAAAUGGAUAGUUAAUUAAGGUAUAAGGAGUAAAUUAUUAAAGUUGUAAAAGCUUAUCGCUAUGGAUAUUUCAAUAGCCGAAGGACCAAAUGAGGAAUUUGCCCCUUUUUAAUGUGACAAUCGGUGGUGGAUAUUUGUUGGAAUCUACCAAAAUUGUUAAUUAUGUUUAACAUUAACUUAAUUAAGAUUUGAUUAGUUAAUUAUGUUUAAUGAAAAGUUAAGAAAGUAUAAAAGACAAAAGUUAAAGAAAAACAAUACAUUUUCUUCUUCUUCUUCUUCUUAUUCUUCUUCUUCUUCUUCUUCUUCUUCUUCUUCUUCUUCUUCUUCUUCUUCUACUUCUUCUUCAUGACCAAAAGAGAAAAAAAUGGGGUUUGGGAAGGUUAACUUUUGAUUAUUAAUAGGUGAGUUCAAUGUAAUCAUUUUCUUAUAAUUUUUAUGUUUUUGAGGUAGGAGGAGCUUGAUUUAGCUAGCUCAUGUACCAAUUUGCAAAACUGUUAAAGUUUAUAAAAGUUUCUAUUGAUAAAUUCUUGAAGCAAUUGAUAUUAAAUUGUUAGAUUUUAAGCUUACAAGUUAAAGAUUAGAUUGUAAAGUAUAAUUGCUAGCUAUUGAACAUAAGAACUAAAGUGUAUAGAUUUCGAAAUUGAUGUGAUUUUUUUGUAAUUAUAGAUAAAAUAGGUUAUAGAAGGAUAUAAUUGAGAUCGAUUUCGAAAUCGAAGCUCAAAUUUGAAAGAUAUUACAAUUUCAAUUUUAGGGGCUAAAUUGAAUAAAAUGUAAAAUUUUAGAGACAUCUGAAAAAUGAAAUUGGAUCGGUUCAUGCAUUUAGUAGGAUACUAUAAACUCGAUCUUUUUCUUGGGUUUAGAUUUUACUCGAAUUUGGAUUUUUUUGAGCUUAGAUCAUCAUAGGCUCAGAUUUUCUCGAAUACAGAUCGUUACGGUCUUAGAUCAGCACGAGCAGGCUUUCAAGCUCAAGCCUAUUUUCUCAGAUCUACUAAAAUUAUAUGCUUUUUAAAGAUAACUUGACAUCUAUGAGUGUUGAGGUUCUUUAUUUUUUGUGACUAGCCAAGUUUCUCGAGCUCUUCGGGAUUAGGGAGGAGAUUAUGGAAGGAAUCUAGACAUUAAAGUGAACCUGGACACCUUUUAAUGCUCAUAUUCUUUCUCUAAUCCCCUCUCUAAUCUUAACAUGUUGAAAUCAUGAUUUCGUUAAAAUUUAAAUCCAUUUCAAUAUAUUUAGUUGUAACAGCCCAAUUUAGACCCUAGUCGAAACAGUGGUUUCAGGACCACAAAUCUGAGGUCAUAAAAUUAUUUUAAUAUUAUUUUUGGUGUUUAGAACAAGUUAAUUGCUAUGUGUGAAGAUUUCGUGAAGUAAUUUUAGCGUUUGAAUGUGUAAUUAUGAAAAAAGACCUAAUCGCAUAAAAUACAAAAUUUGCAUGCUACUUGUUAAUGGUGUUAUUUGACCUUGGCUUUUAAAGUAGAAGUCCUUGCAUGUCAAAUUGACCAUUGGUAGCGGGAAUGGACAUAAAUAGGCAUGUGUUAGGUAAAUUCAUAAUGAAUUUACUAAGGUUAAUAUAGUAAUUAUACAAAUAAAUGAUGAUAAAAUAAAACAAAAUAUGAAAUGACCAUGCAUGUUCUUAGCUCAGUCGAAUGUUGAAGAGAAAAGAACCAUUUUAAAUCCUUUUAAAUUCGGCACUUUGAAGCUCAAAUUGAGGUAUUAUUUGAGUUCGAUUUUUUAUGAUUUUUAUGUUUUUGAAAUCAUUGCUUAGUAACCUAACUAGCCUAUGCUUUAAUUUUUGAAGGUAUUGAUGUUUAUGAAAGUUGACAUUGAUAAAUUAUGAGCUUUGUGAUGUUAAAUGAUAGAUUAUAAAUAUUUAAUGAUCGGUAUAUAAGUUUUGUUGAGUGAACUUUAGUAAAAAUACCUAUUAUGGACUAAAUUGUGAAAUGUUGAAAAUGUGUGGUUGAAAUAUGAAAUAAAUGUGAGUAUUGGGCUUCUAGGGAGCUAUAUGAAAUUCGGCUAGCAUGAAAUUAGAAUGAAAUUGUGUAAUUUGUGUUUUGAUGAAAUAAGGACUAAAUUGUAAGAAAUGUGAACUUUAGGGGCUAAAGUGAAAAAUGCCCAUUUGUGUGUUUUUGAGUGAAUUUGAAUGAAUAAGAGAUUGAAUAAGUUAAUUUUGAUUAUAAUUAAAUCAAUAGCCAAAGAAAACGGAAUUAGAUCGGGGGAAAUCGAAAAUAAUUGAAUAGUCGUUCGUUUCCAUUCAUUUCGUACGAGGUAAGCUCAUAUGCAAAUAAAUAUCGUUACAUUGAAAUGUUUAUGUUAUUUUCAUAUUGAAUUGCUAUGAAUGUCGAAUGAUUGUAUACGAGCAAGAAUCGACAAAGUUGUGACAUCCGAAAGCCCCGCACGAACCUUAGGAAUAGUAUAGGAUACAAAUGUCAUGACAUUAGGUAUUGAGAUGUGAUUACAUGUAAGACCCUGUGUGAAAUAGUGGCAUUGUACUAUGAUUACGUGUAAGACCAUGUGUGGGACAUUGGCAUCGUUAAUCGAUUUCGUAUAAGACCCUGUGUGGGACAGUGGCAUCGAUACGUGAUAACAUGUAAGACCAUAUCAAGGAUAUGGCAUUGUACGAGCUAUAAGUGAUUACCGAGUAUCCUUAAUAAUUCCAAAUGGUUCAACGGGAAAAUUUAAGUCGGGAAAGAAAGUGUAAGUGAAUCAAGUGACUCAGGUACGUACGAGACUCAUUUGAGUAUUAAAACGAAAAGUAUUGGAUGGAUUCAGUUAUAGAAUUGAAUGUGUAUAUCAUGAAGUAGGUUUGUGAAUUUAUUUUUGCAUUUAUAUGUGCUCAUGUAUAACUUGCUAAAUUGAUGAGAAUAAUAUUGAUGCAUGAGAUGAUUUAUUUGUUUGUAUAUGGCUUACUAAGCUUUUAAAGCUUACUAUGUUUAUUUUUCAUUAUUUUAUAGAUCAUCGAAGCUAACUCGGAUUCGGGGAUCGUCUAGAAGCGUCAUCGCACUAUCAAUCAAUAUUUUGGUACUUUUGAAGUUAUGUAUAUAUUGGUAUAUGGCAUGUAUAGGCUAGUGUCAUAAUGGUAUAUUUUGGCUUGUAAAUGAAGUGUGUUUGUAGUCAUUUUGAUUGGCUUUAAAUGGUGAGUUUGACACAUGUUAUGUGAUGCAUAUAUAAUUUCUAGGUGAUGGUUUAUUUUGGUAAGUGAUUUAGUUGUUGAUUUAAUAGGUCAUGAAGCAUGUUUUAAUUGAUGAUAGGAAUGACAUGAUUUAGACUUGAAUGAGGUUGUUUAAUAGCCAUUUCAUGUUUUGAAAUGUGUCACGUUAAUGGCUAGUGAAUAUGUACUUGUGUGUAUAAAUUGAAGGUGGCAUGUUGGCUUGGAAAAUAGCAUUGAGUUGUCCAUAUGGGUAGACACACGGGCGUGUGUGACACACGGCCUGCACCUUGGGUGUGUGCUCUGGUCGUGUGAAGUCUACACCUUAAUUUUGGAAUUUUAUUUAUCACACGGGCUGAGGACACUGGCGUGUACCUUGGCCAUGUGUCUCUUAUUUGAUUGCGACGUCACAAACAGAAUGCGACCUAGUUUUGGCAAGGCUAAGCACACGGCCUAGACAUGAGAGUGUGUAAGGCACACGGGCUAGACACAUGGACGUGUGCUUCGGCCGUGUGAGGAAGUCAGUAUGUAUGCCCUGUAUCUACACGGUCUGAGACACAGGUGCGUAUCUUAGCCGUGUGAGUGACACGGGUUGGGCACACGGGCGUGUGACCUAUGCAGUGAGGAAAAUAUUUUAAGUUUUGUAAAGUUUUCUCGAGUUAUAAAUUUACUCCCAAACCCCUUUUAAGCAUGUUUUAAGGUACCGUAGAACCUUAUAAGGGACAAUGUGAAUGAAUGUAUAAAAGUUUUAAAUUGUAUGCAAGUUUAUGUUGUGAAAUGUGACUGAAUGAUUCGAUGUAAGUUCGAUAAUGCCUCGUACCCUGUUUCGAGGUUGGUUAUGGGUAAGGGGUGUUACAUUAGUUGUCAAUGUUCAUUUAGAUUUUGGAAAAUCUUAACCCUAGUUGUUAAGUUAAAAAAAAUUACAGAAACUGAAAAUUAAAAUGGACUUUGAUGCCCUUGAGGGUCAAGAUUCAUUUAAAAAUCCUAAUCCUAAAUGAUCUUUUUAACAUAAUAGAAAAUCUUAAAAAAAUUAAAUAGAACUCAACAUUCAAGAGUGUCGAGAUCCAUUUAAAUAGUUUCUCUCGCUUGUUUAUUUCUCAUAGAAAACUAAAAAAAUCCUUUAUAUUAUAAAUUAUCUACAUACUCAUAAAUCUCUAACCCAAAUUUUGAAAUUUUGAUAUUAGAAGAAGGACAUGUGACUCAAUAUGCAACAAUGGAUGAAAAUCAGGUGUCUCGAUGUUACAAUACUAUGAGAAUAGAAGCUCACAAUCUAUCUUGUGAUCACUUACAUGAUUUUGGUUUCUAUCACAUUUAGGGGUAUGACUUUCGUGCUAGCAUUCAUUUCUUCUCUAGUUGUUAAUUUUAUGAUGUUAUCAAAUUCGAGCCUAUGAUGAUUUGAGCUUGAGAAAAUCUGAGCAAAUAUGCUCUCUUUUCCUUUUUUUUCUCAUUUUGAAAAAAAUGGAUGGUAAAAAAAAAAAUCAAAGUUCACUAAAAUUAAAUGUGUGCUCCAUAUUUGACCCCUUUUCAUUAAUCACAUCCAAUGGAUCACAUUCGUCCAAAACAUACUAUAUCUCAUCAAAAUAAUUUUCCAAUAUAGAAUUCAAGUGAAAUGACCAAAAUGCUUUUUAUGGAAAAAUUGAACAACAACCCCUUUUUACCUCUUAUUAGACUUUCUUCACAUCAUAUAGGUACCGAUCAAACUCAAACUUCAUAAAUCACAUUUAAUGUCUAAUAUAAGUCCAUGGGUAGUGGUAAAAAUUACACGUGUAUGCUUUUCAAGUUAAAAAAAUGGUAAAAUCGCAAAUUAGUCCACGUACUUUCAAAUCUUUUCCAAUGUAGUCCAAAAAUGAUUUUCAUCACACCAGUUCAUUUUCCAGGUCAUUCUCUUGUCAAAUAAUCAUUAAUAACUCACAUUUUCUCUUUUCUUCAAAUUUUAUUUUUGGCAAACUUUUUAAAAUUUCAAUUUGGUCCAUUUUUCACUUUCACAAAAUUUCCACUGAUUUCCAUCUCUAAUAUAAAUUUUAUUAUUUUUAUUCGACUCAAUUCCAUAUUCUUCAAAUAUUCACAAAUCACAAUCACGAAUUAGUACCAAAUGUACCGAAAUUUUUGGAGCGUUACAUGUUCAAGUAAUUCUCUCUUUGGAGUUGGAUUAGGUUAAUCAAUUGUUUAUUAUUUGAUUGAAAUGUGAAUUGAGUGAAGGUUAAAUUUCGACUCCACAUUUUUCAUGUUAAGUAAAUAAUUUUAAGUAAUAAUUAAAAUGAUUGUUGUCUAAUAACUAAAUAUAACCUCAAAUAAUUGUAACAAGAAAUAAACGAACUAAUUUAGUUUGUACAAUUUUUGAAAACUAAACUUUGCACAACUUUUUAUUACUACAAGAAUUAACUAUUUAAAAUAUAAAAAAUAUUAGAUUAGCUUUAGUUUAAAUUAAUAAUACAUCGGAUUGAAUUCAAUAUGAAUCAAUUUUAUACCUGUUCUUAGAUUAAUUUACUUAUGAUGUUUAUUGUAGUACACUAAUCCUUUGUAAGUGAAGGAUUAUAUAUGUAUGCCUUAAAUGCUUUGGUACACUAAAAACCUAUGUAUCUCGAAGUAGUAAGCAAAACAUUGGUAUAUUGAGUAUGUAACUUGUACAUGAUGUAGUUUCACUUACAUAUAGUGGAAUCAUAGCUCAUAUAAAGAGUUAAUAAUAUCCUCUCAAUGGCAUUAUAUGGUUUAUGAAAAUAGAAUAUGCACAUGGGUCAUUUAUCUUUGGAAAAUAAUUUAGCAUUCUUUAGAGGUGUUAGAAUUAAGUGACUCGAAUCCUUAUUUAAGUAAAAUACAGUGGUAAAAUAAAAUAAAAGAAGAAUCCAUAUAGAAUUACACUUCUUUUAUUUUAUUUCAGAAUAAAGCUUUUUAAACCUUAUUAAAUUCUAUCUAUUCAAUAUUGAUUAGAAUAAGGUGUUUCAGUCUUACUAGAAUAUGGUUUUACAAGCCUAUAAAUAGACAUAGUCUAUUCCUCUUGUAUUGAUUCAAAUUUUCGACAUAGUAAAUUUUCUUCUCCUCUGCCCGUGGUUUUUCCCGAAAGGGUUUUCACGUAAAAUUUGUGUGUUCUUUAUUUUAUUUUAUUUUUAUUUCUCUUUUUUUUUGCAACAUAUUGUCAUUACCGACAUUAUAUAUUUUCACAAAUUGGUAUCAGAGCUUCCGAGUUAUUCAUCUCGAUCAUGGUAAUUGCAUCUUUGAAGUAUAAAAUUCUGCUAUUGGAUCGCAACACCAGAUUUGCGUUGUGGCAGAUUAAGAUGCAAGUAGUUCUUGUGCAAAUAGAUCUGGAGGAUGCCCUACUAGGGAUAAAUAAGAUGCCUUCGACAUUAACAAAUGAAGAGAAGAAGCGUAAGGAUCGAAAGACAUUAACACAAUUACAUUUGCAUUUGUCCAACGAAAUUUUGCAGGAUAUGAUGAAAAAGAAGACCGCCGCUGCAUUAUGGAAGAUGCUAGAAUAAUUAUGUAUGUCGAAAACUCUAACAAGCAAGUUGCAUAUGAAGUAACGUCUUUAUGCUCAUCGUUUGGAAGAAAGUACGUCUGUACACGAACACUUAACAGUGUUUAAAGAAAUUCUCUCAAAUUUGGAGGCCAUGGAAGUUCAGUAUGAUAAGGAAGAUCUAGGGUUGAUUCUACUUUGUUCGUUGUCCCCGUCUUAUUCAACCUUUAGAGACACGAUUUUAUAUAGCCACGAGUCUUUUAUAGUUGAUGAGGUUUAUGAUUCUUUAACCUCGUAUGAUAAGAUGAAGUAUCUUGUGGUUAAACCCGACUCUCAAGGAGAGGGUCUCAUUGUUCAUGGGAGACAAGAUCAGAAUGGUGAUAAUGAUUGUGGAAGGAUACAGGAAUGGAAUCUUCACGGUAAAUCUAAGGGUAGAUCAAAGUCUUCAAAUAAAGGUAAAACUUGUAACUUCUGCAAGAAGAAAGGGCACAUUAAAUCUAAGUGCUACAAGCUACAGAAUAAGAUUAAAAAGGGAGGCUGCAAAUCAAAAGGUAAAAUAACCAGAAAAUUCUGGUGAAUCUGAUGUUGUAGAAGACUACAACGAUGGUGAAAUUCUAGUCGCUUCUGUCAAUGAUUCUAAAGUAAGCGAGGAGUGGAUACUUGAUUCAAGCUGCACCUUCCAUAUGAGUCCCAAUCGGGAUUGGUUUACAACUUACGAAACAGUGUCUGAAGGUAUUGUCUUAAUAGGAAAUAAUGCUUCGUGUAAAAUCGCAGGUGUUGGAACAAUUAAAGUUAAUAUGUUUGAUGGAGUUGUCAGAACACUUAGGGACGUACGACAUGUUCCAGAAUUGAAAAGAAAUUUAAUUUUGUUGAGUACUCUUGAUUCAAAAGGGGUACAGAUACAUAGCUGAAAGUGGGGUUUUAAAGAUUUCCAAAGGGUCCCUUGUUGUGAUGAAAGGGCAGAGAAAGAUUGCCAAGUUAUAUGUUUUGCAGGGUUCUACUAUUACUGGUGAUGCAGCUGUCGCUUCCUCUUCCUUAUUAGAUGAUGAUAUUACUAAAAUUUGGUAUAUGCACCUAAGGCAUAUGAGUGAGAAUGGCAUGGCAGAAUUGAGCAAAAGAGGACUUCUUGAUGGGCAAGGAAUUUGCAAACUGAAUUUCUGUGAGCACUGUGUUUUUGGGAAGCAAAAGAGAGCUCGAUUCACUAGAGGAAUCCAUAACACAAAGGGAACGUUGGAGUAUAUUCAUUCUGAUCUGUGGGGGCUAUCCAAAGUACCUUCGAGAGGUGGAGCUAAUUAUAUGUUAACCUUUAUUGAAGAUUUUUCCAGAAAAGUUUGACCAUUCUUCCUGAAGCAGAAAAGCGAUGUGCUUUAUGCAUUUAAGUCUUGGAAAAUUAUGAUUGAAAAACAGAUGAAAAAACAAAUAAAAUACCUCCGCACAGAUAAUGGCUUAGAGUUCUGUUCUGAUGAGCUUAAUAGAUUGUGCAAGUCAGAAGAGAUCAUGAGACACUUGACAGUUCGUCAUACUCCACAGCAAAACGGCGUUGCAGAACGAAUGAACAGAACAAUUAUAGAGAAGGUUCAAUGUAUGUUGUCAAAUGCCAACUUAUCGAAGUCAUUUUGGGCAGAAGCAGCCUCUACUGCAUGUUUUUUGAUCAACCGAUCUCCAUCCAUUGCCAUUGAGAAAAAGACUCCACAAGAGGUAUGGUCUGGUAAGCCUACCAAUUAUUCUGAUUUAAAGAUCUUUGGGUGUCCUGCGUAUGCUCAUGUUGAUAAUGGAAAAUUGGAACCGAGAUCUAUUAAAUGUAUUUUUCUUGGUUAUAAAGCUGGUGUAAAAGGGUAUAAGUUAUGGUGUCCUGAAAAUAGAAAAGUUGUGAUUAGCAGAGAUGUUGUUUUUGAUGAAACUGCUAUGCUACCUAACUUAUCUCUUAAAGACUCUUCCAAUAAAGAAAAUCAAAAGCAGGUGGAGCAUCAGAUUAAUACAGAGUCAACUCCUCAAGCCAGAACAAAAAUUGAUAAUAGAAUUGCUUCUUCACCACAAUACUCUAUCGCCAAAAACAGAACUAGAAGAGAAAUUAAACCUCCAAAGAAGUAUGCCGAGGCUGAUCUAGUUGCUUAUGCUUUAAAUGUGGCUGAAGAUAUAGAUGCGAAUCAAGAGCCAUCUAAUUAUUCUGAGGUGGUUAGCUGUGAAGACUCAGAAAAGUGGAUGUUUGCUAUGCAAGAAAAAAUGGAAUCACUCCACAAAAACAGAACAUGGGACCUUGUGAAACUUCCUAAAGGUAAAAAUGUUGUUCGUUGUAAAUAAGUGUUUAAAAAGAAAGAAAGGACUCCAAGAGUUGAAGAACUCAAAUAUAAAGCAAGGCUUGUUGUAAAGGGUUACAGUCAAAUUCCAAGAGUGGACUUCACAGAUGUGUUCUCCCCAGUUGUUAAGCAUAGUUCGAUUCGAGCUUUGCUUGGUAUUGUGGCCAUGCAUGAUUUGGAGCUUGAGCAGUUAGAUGUAAAAACUGCAUUUCUGCAUGGAGAACUUGAAGAGGAUAUUUACAUGCAACAACCAGAGGGUUUUAUAGUCUCAGAAAAAGAGGACUAUGUUUGGUUGCUGAAAAUGUAACACCCCUUACCCGUAUCCAACAUCGGGAUAGGGUUCGAGGCGUUAACGGACUUAAACAUUCACAACAACACAUAACAUAUUACCAACCAUGCAUGACAAACAAGCAUAUGCACAUCACCAAUAUCAAACAUAACAUAAAUAGCUAUAUUUAUAAGUCAGAAUCAUUAGCUCACUAAAGACCAAUAUAUUUGGCCAAAUUAUAAUAACACAUGUUAUAAAACUAGGUCCCUAUACAUGCCAUUCACUUGAUAAUUCUAGCAUAUGUGUUUAUACUGUCAAGAUAUUGGCUUGAUAGUGUGAUGCUGCCUCCGACGAUCUCCAACCCUGAGCUAACCUGAUAACACUAAAAGAAAUGGAAAGGAGGGGGUAAGCUUUACGCUUAGUAAGCUCGCAUGAAAUAAUAAUAAGCAAUUUACUAACAUGCUUUCCACAGUAAAACUAACCCAAUUGUACAUUUACACAUGUUCUGGUUAAGCUGCUUUCUUGAGUCACAGUCACUAAAUCAUUUAUAUCUGGAGUUACGGAACUCCAAAUUAAGAUCCAUAAAUUUUCACAGAAACUAGACUCAUAUAUAUUUCCACCAUAAAAUAUUCAUAAUUUUUUGAUCCAGUCAAUAAGUACAGUUUAUUAUUCAAAGUCUCCCAUGUUUUGCUAUUUGACAGCUUCAACCUUUCUUCACUAAAAUUUACUUAUCUCAUAGUACGAGACUCGGAUAAUGUUUUCGUUUGUUUCUAUUAAAAGUAGACUCAUCAAAGAUUCUAAGCAUAUAAAUUAUAACCCAUAAUUAAUUUUAUACAAUUUUUAAAAAAAUUUCCAAGUCAGAACAAGGGAUCUCGAAUUCAUUCUGACACUGUCUCACAAAAAUUAGAAUAUCACAUAAUAUACAACUCUUUUGCUCCCCAUAUUUCCUUUAUAUGAAAAUAAACUUAUUAAGAUUUAAUUCCACAAUUUAUUUGAAAUUUAAUUAAACUUACACAAUUUUUGGUAAAUUUUCAAAUUCACACAACUACUGCUAUCCAACACUGUUUUACUACUAAAAUUCACUCUUACAUAAUUUCACUUAAUCCAUUUUGUCUUAUCGAAGUUCACUCAAAUAUCGAGCAUAUUGCUCAAAAUUUUCUUAAACAUAUACCUGCACUUAUUCAUCAUAUAAUCAUGUUCACAUGUAUUUUUACUUAAUCGAUUUUCCCGUUGAACUCUUCGGAAUAAUAACUGAUACUCAGUUGCCUGCACAUAUUUUCACACUUAUAGCCAAAGCUAUCUGUUACGCAUAGUAACCUGCACUUAGUACUACACAUGCGACCAAUUAUCUAGUACACGUAGUAGCCUGCACUUAGUAUUACACACGUGACCUAACCAUCUGAUACACGUAGUAGCCUGCGCUUAGUACUACACACGUGAUCGAAGUUAUCGGGUACGCAUAGUAGCCUGCACUUAGUACUACACAUGCGACCAAUUAUCCAGUACACGUAGUAACCUGCACUUAGUACUACACACGUGACCUCAUAAUAGAUCAUUCGUAUCGUUUCUAUUCCGAAGGCUCAACCGGGAAAUUCCUCACUUUCCAACAUGUUACAAAUUUAUUCAUAGUCCUUUUUCAAUUUGCAAUUUACGACAAAUAGUCAUUCUAUAGGUAGCCACAUUUCAUAUGAUAACAAAAUAUAAUAAAAUAAAAAGAAUCGAUAAAUUAUUUACAUACAAACUUGUCAAAAUCUCAUCAGGCACAAUCGUGCAGCAAUUCAUACAACCCAGGUAAUAGUAAUUUAACACUCAAUUCAUGUAAUAAUAAUUUGCCAUUCAAUUUCACAUGACACAACAAGCAUUACAUUUUUCCAUAUCAUACAUACCAUCCAUCAACUUCUCUUAAACAUUUUAAAUCAUACAAUUUAUGCCAUAUCAAUAGAGAAUUACAAUUCAUGCAUGGUAUUGCAUUAUUGUUAACACACGAACUUACCUCGAUCCAGAAACGGCAAUUUACCAUUCUAGUUCAUAACCUUGUAUUUCCCCGAUUUAAGCCCAAAUCUCGAUUUCCUUGAUUUAUAAUAUCACAUUUAGCCUACUAAUUAGUCAAACUAUACAUAUGGGUCUAAACAUCAUAUUUUUACAAAUUUUCAUUUUGACCCCUAAACUUUUGCAUAUUUGCACUUUUGCCCUAAUGUUCGGAAAUUAAACUUCUUCUUAUUGUCUUAUGUUUUAUGACAUUCUAAUCAUUUUUCCCUUCUAUGGCAACAUCAAAUUCUCACUCUAACAUGUACUAAUGAACAUUAGGUAUUUUUACCGAUUAUGCCGUUUUUCUCGUUUUCACGUAAAAUCGCUUAGCAAAAGUUGUUUAACACAAUUUCAAGCUUUAUAUUCUACCAUUAAACAUCAAAAUACAUGCAUAUAAUUCAUGGUAAAUUUUUAAACACAAACCCUAGCUCAAAAUAAUGGUAGAAAUAGCUAAAACAUGUUACCGGGACUUCAAAAAUGUAAAGAACAUUAAAAACGGGGCUUGGGAUCACUUACAAAUGAGCUUGGAAAGCUUGAAAACCCUAUCCAUGGUAUUUUUCAUGAAAAAUUCGGCCAUGAGGAAGAAGAUGAGCAAAAUUGGCUUAUUUUGGCAUUUUUAAUUCAUUUAAUUACCAAUUUACUAAAAUGCCCUUAAUGAAAAACUUUUAAAAACCUAUCAUACCAUGUCCAUUUUUGUCCACAAACUUCAAAAUGGUAUAAUUACCAUUUAAGGACCUUUAAUUUAAAAAUUCAUUACAAUUAGACACUUCUAACAUGUAGAACUCAACUUUUUUACUUUUUACAAUUUAGUCCUUUUGACCAAAUUGAGUGUCCAAACGUCGAAAUUUUCGAAUGAAAUUUUCAUGAAAUCAUUUCAUGAAAUCGUAGACCAUAAAAAUAUAAUAAAAAUAAAAAUUUUCUCAUCGAAUUUGUGGUCUCGAAACCACUAUUCCGACUAAGCCUAAAAUCAGGAUGUUACAGAAAAAGUCCCUUUAGGUUUGAAACAGUCACCAAGACAGUGGUACAAGAGGUUUUAUGACUUCUCAUAAUUUCAAAAGAAGUAGUUUUGACAAUUGUGCUUACUUUAAGAAAAACAGUGAUGGUUCUUUUGUGUAUCUACUUCUUUAUGUUAAUGACAUGUUGAUAGCAACAAAAGAUAAAGGAGAGAUAAGAAAGGUCAAAACCCAACUAAGUAAAGAAUUUGAGAUGAAAGAUUUAGGACCAGCAAAAAAGAUACUUGGAAUGAAGAUUCUCAGAGAUAGAAAAACAAGUAAAUUGUACCUAAGUUAGAAGGGGUACAUUGAGAAAGUUCUUUGCAGGUUCAAUAUGCAGAGUGCUAAGCCUGUUAGUACUCCUUUAGCAGCCCAUUUCAGACUUUCAACAGUUUUGUCUCUACAAUCAGAUGAUGAGAUUGAGUACAUGUCACAUGUUCUAUACUCUAGUGCAGUGGGAUCUCUCAUGUAUGCUAUGAUUUGUUCACGUCUAGAUUUAUCAUAUGCAGUUAGUGCAGUUAGCAGAUACAUGGCGAAUCCCGGUAAAGAACAUUGGAAAGCAGUUUAGUGGAUUCUAAGAUACUUACGAGGUACUACUGAUGUUUGCUUAUAGUUUAGAAGAACUAGAGAUGGAGUCAUUGGGUAUGUUGAUGCUGAUUUUGCUGGAGACCUUGGUAAAAGAAGAUCUUUCACAUGUUAUGUCUUUAAAAUCGGAGGUUGUGCAAUUAGUUGGAAAGCUACUUUGCAAACUACAGUCGCUUUGUCUACCACUGAAGCUGAGUACAUGGCGAUUACUGAGGAUUGUAAAGAAGCUAUUUGGUUGAAGGGACUCUUUAGUGAACUCAAUGAAGACCUUCAAAUCAGCACAGUAUUCUGUGACAAUCAGAGUGCCAUCUUUCUUACAAAAGAUCAAAUGUUUCAUAAGAGAACAAAACACAUUGAUGUUCGGUAUCAUUUUUUUCGUGAUAUUAUUGCUCGUGGUGAUAUUGUUGUGAGCAAAAUUAGUACUCAUGAAAAUCCUGUAGAUAUGAUGACUAAGUCACUUCCUAUAACCAAGUUUGAGCAUUGCUUAGACUUGGUUGGUGUUCAUUGUUGAAGUUAAACCUUUAAGGGGUUUUGUGGAAGAGGUGGAGAACUUGUUCGUUGAGAGUUUACAAUGAAGAACUUGUUCAUUGAGAAUUCGUGUCAAGGUGGAGAUUGUUAGAAUUAAGUGACUCGAAUCCUUAUUUAAGUAAAAUACAGUGGUAAAAUAAAAUAAAAUAAAAGUCCAUAUAGAAUUACACUUCUUUUAUUUUAUUUUAGAAUAAGGUGUAGCGACGUAAAAAUUUUAGCUUGGUCGCUAAUUGUGGCGAUUUAUUAAACAUUUGAAAACCAAUUUUUGAUUUUAUUAACAAAGGGAGUCGCCACCGAUCCUUUUUAUAGGUGUGAUCGGACACCUAAUAAAUUUAGUUUUAAAACAAAAAGAAGGCCGAAUUUAGGUCUAUGUUAAAAUCCAGAGAAAAUUUAGGGUUCGGGAGUCGGUUACGCGCGAGGAAGGUAUUAGCACCCUCGCGACGCCCAAAAUUGGUAUCUUAUAAACAAGUGUUGUCUUAAUUUUCGAAAUUGCAAGUUCAAAGUAACAUUGAAUCGUGACCGAGUAAAACACGAGAAAUUUCAAGUUUCGUUUUCUUUUGAGAAGGAUAUACCGUUUUAACACGAGUCGAUUGAUAUUCACCCAACAUAGCGAUGAAAUCGAUGACAUAGUGUUAAAUUGGUACGUUGCCUAGAUUAUUGAAAUUAAUUAGAAAACAAGAAUAUGGUUUUCAAAGUAAUGCAAAGCAAAUUAAUAAAUAAAAAAAUAAAAGACAAAUCUAGAGGUACAUUGAAGCGAAUAUAAAUGUGACAAUAAUAUUAUAAACAAUAAAGAUAUAUAUGAUACUAAAAUUAAAUAUGAAAUGGAAAUAAUGAAUAUAGAUACAUGAUAUUAAGAGUACGUAUGUAAACUAUAUAUAAUGUUUGAUGGUGAGAAUAUAACUAAUAAUGUUAAAAUAUAUACAUAAUAUAUACAUGUAUACAUAUGAAAAAUGUGUGCACAUGACGUAUAUGAAAAAUAUAUACAUAGUAAUAUAAAAUAAUAAGUGAUGAUAGUGAAACUAAUGGGUAUAAUAAUUAUAAUGAUAUACGAAAAUAAUACUAUAUAUAAAAUAUGCAUACAAGUAUAAUAAAAUAUAUGUCUUGAUAUUAAUAACAAACAUAGUAGGAGUAAAAUAAAUGUAAUAAUGAUAUAUACACAAUAUGGCAUUAAGAAUAUAUAUAUAUAUAUACAAUAUAGUAUUUAAAAAUAUAUACAUAAGAUGGUAUAAAAAUAUGUACAUGGAAAUGUAUAAGAAAUAUAACUAAUACAUUAAAAAAUAUAUACCUAUACUAGAAAUUAUAAUCGUAUAUAUAAAUAAACUAUUCGUACACUACGCAAAUAUAUACAUAUAUAUAGUAAUGAUGAUGUUUAAGAAUAUACUAUAAUAGUACAAAGUACAUAACUAAUAAUACUAAUACAUGUACAUAAUAAUAUAAUAAGAAAAUGAUAUAUUUAUAAAAGUACAUAAAAAUAUCUAUACAUAUAUGUAAAUAAUAACAAUAAUAUAAAAAAGUAAUAAUAGUGAAAAUAAUAAAUAAAAUAUGGUAUUAAGAGUAUAUAUAUAAAAAUAUAAUAUUAAAAGUAUAUACAUAAUAAAAUAUAGAAAAUAAAAAAAUACAUGUAAAUAACAUAUAUAAAAAAUAUAUUCAUAAUAUAGUAUUAAAAUAUGUACAUAAUAUAUACGUAUUAGAAAUAAAAAAACUACUAUUAAUAAUACUACAUAAACAUGUACAUAUGUAUUCAAGAUAAAUACACAUAUAAUAAAACAUAUACUAGUAAUAAUAAUAAUAAUAAUAAUAUAAUAACAUAGUAAUAAUAACAUAAAGUAAUGGAAAUAAACAAAAGGUACUAAAAUCGAAUUAACAACAGAGUUCUGGGGUGGAUUUAAAAGAGGAAUAAAGAGAAGAGGGUUUAUUUGAAUGUGCGUGCAACCUGGAGGGACCAAGGGCGCAAUAUCCCCAACUAUUAAAACACCACGCUUGGCCAAGGACUAAAUUGAAAGGCGCAAUAAAGUCCAGGGCCGAAUUAAAGGUAAAAAAUAUCUGAUUGUAAAUGCACGAAAAAGCGAAAGGGCUAAAUGCGCAAAUAGCCCUUCCGUUUUAAAAAACACACAGAUCUAACUGGAGCGGGUCGAGUCGACCCGACCCGGGGCCAAAACGACGCCAUUUUUGGUUAAAGGGGGGUUUGGUCCCCUAUAAAAGAUAAAAAAAUUUUAAAAAAAUCAUUUGAGCGGGGAGAAGAGAGAAAAAAAAAGAGAGAACGGGAAAGGGAAAGGGAAUCCCGGCCAGGGGGCCGGUCACCGGGCCCUCACCGGCCGCCGUCCGUCGCUGGCGCCGGCCACCGUGUAGGUAAAACUUUAUUUUUUUUGUUUUUUUUAUUAUUUGUUUUAUAUUUCCUUUUUUAUAUGUUUUAGUAUAUGUAUGUGGGAAAAUAAGCACAAAGCGAAAUUAAAAUAGGAUGAAAAGAAAUCACCUUAGGAUUUUUUUAGCUUUCGAUUUCUGAGAUUUUUGGUUUGUAUUCGAUGCUAUCUACUUUCUUUCUUGGUCUUAAUCUGCUAGUAUUGAUGAAAAAAUGAAGAUGAAUUCUUUGUAUUGAUCAAAAUCCCCCCUUUUACAACUUCUCAUUCGGGCUUUAUAACCCUUUUACAUUUAUUUUUAUAUUAUUUCUAUUUUGUCUUCUUUAUGGAUUGCAGAGGAUGGGCAUGGACGGUGGAGUGUGUGAUGGCUCAGCAUGCGCAGGGCGUGGCGGCCGACAUGGUGGAGCAGUGUCAGGCGCACAUGGGGCAAGGGUUUCUGGCUUUCCAAAAUUUUUAAAGUCUUGGGCCUAUCGGGCUUCACUGUUUUGGGCUGGUGUUGGGUUUUAAAUGUUUAGGUUAGUUUGGGUUUUGGUUGAACUAGGUUUUGGGUAUUUGUAUUUGGGCCUGGGCAAUUUAAAUGGGUCAUUUGGUUUUGAUUGUAAACAGGCCAAAAUUGGCCUACAACAUAAGGUUUUUUAAACAUUAUUAAAUUCUAUCUAUUUGAUAUUGAUUAGAAUAAGGUGUUUCAGUCUUACUAGAAUAUGACUUUACAAGCCUAUAAAUAGACAUAGUCUAUUCCUCUUGUAUUGAAUUUCGACAAAGUGAACUUUCUUCUCCUCUGCCCGUGGUUUUUUCCCGAAAGGGUUUCCAUGUAAAAAUCUGUAUGUUUUUUAUUUUUAUUUUAUUUUUUUCACAAAAGGAGUGAUGAUCAUUUUUCAUUAUCGAAUAUAUAAUAGAACAAUGAGAUAAAAGUUAACAAAUUAGGUAUAUGGAUAUACAAACCACUAAUAUCAUAUAAGAUUAAUACACAAAUGAAAUCAAACAUAACUUUUAUAGUUAUAUAGAAUUUGUUUUUUUAUACUAUAUUAAAGUUGUUGGGUGUUUUUUUGUGUCUAUCCUUUAAAGGGGUUAAAUUCUCUAUUUAUGUAACAUCCGCAUUUGAACUCGGGGUUAGGUACAGUGAUGGAUCAAGUCAGGAAUUAGUAUAAAAUUUUUGAAAUAUAAUAAAUAGAAAUUUUGAGUAUUAAAUUAGGAAGUAUAUAGAUCCAAUAAGAAAUUAAAAAAAAUUAAUACUUUUUAGAUGGGAAAUUUUAAAACAUAUACAUUGAUUUAGUUAAAAGAAUAAAUACUCUUUAAAUAAAGUUGUUGAGGAUCUCACACGCCCGUGUGCCCACCAGAUACGGCUGUGUAUCCAAAACACAUGCCCGUGUGGGAUCCCUAAAUCCUCAAAUUAGCCAUACGGCCGUGUGGUACCAAAUCUUUAAAACCCUAAUUCCCAAUUGCACACGCCCGUGUGCCUAAGAGGCACAGCCGUGUGAACAUUGACUAAAAUCCCCAAUUGGCCACACAACCGUGUGGCACCAAAUUUUGCCCAAAAACCUUAAUUCCUAACUAUACACAGCCUAGUGAACAGCCCGUGUGGGGGCACAUGCCUAUGUGGCCACCCAUGUGGUCACGAAACCAUACCGAAAUAGUUUAUUGAAAGUGCCUUGUUGCUGAAACGUACCCCAAUCCUUAAAUACUCAGAAAUAUAUCAAAAUCACACUUAAUUAUAAGUUAUUCCAUGAUAAUCACCCCUUUCGAAUGGUCGACUCCACAAGCACACAACAAUUUCCAAUUCCACAGAAACAAAUCGUAAUUCGUUAACAAAAAUUUAAAAGGUUCGAAACCCACACCUAAUUCGCAAUCCAAACGUUUAGAAACCAAACAACACACGAUGGCGACCUCGAUUCGAACGCAAAGCUUUUCGAAAACCACAACACAUCUGACUUAUAAAAAAAAGAAGAGGAAAAAAAACAAAGAAAAGGGAAAAGGAGAACAUGCCAGAAAAAGCAAAAAAAGAAAAUAAAUAAAAACUAAUAGUAAAUAACUAGUUUAAAAAAAUUAAAACAAAUCUAAGGCAUUAAUUAAUAAAAAUAAUCCCCCUAACACAAGAUUAAGACUCAAACUCAAGUCCUAAAGGUUCUGUAGCACCCCAAACCCGGCCCAGAAGUUAUGGCCGGAUCCGGCAUGCCACAUCAAAAACGUUAAAAAAAAUUCCAUUCUAAGUCCAGAAAAUCGUACUUGAUGUUCAAAAUAUUAAUUCAUUAAGGGUUAAAGUGAAUGGAAGUUGUGCACCAGGUAGGAAACCGGAAAAGAGGUGGUGAGUCCAUCGGACUGCUUAAGUACCAAGCUCCCUUCGGAUCCAAUCCUAGACAUGCAUACUGCCAUUGCCACACCUUAACGUCAUGGAUAUUUCUAGGAAACCGAUUUGAUUAAGUCAUUUUUAGGAAAAGUGAUUAAUUUUGGAAAAUACUUUCAUUGCGGAAGCUUUGCUUGUUGUCGUGUUAUUUUGAAAUCAACUGUUGUUUUUGAAAACGCGCCCUAAAGCUAUCCAAUUUCAACAGUUAAAAUAAGUAUUACCUAUCUUAGUAAUACAUAUUAAAAACCAUCAAAAAUAAAUAAGCGGCCUUAUUACAUUUAAAAGCCCAAAACCUCAAACGUAAUUAAAAGGAUGUCCAGUUCACAAGAAGAAAAUCAAACUUUCAGAACGGGUGGCCACUCCGAAUUCCCUCACAGCUCCAAGCCCACUAUGGUUGGGGAUUUCCUGCGUGGAUGAAAAUAAAAGGGAUGAGUUUGGGGAAACUUAGUGUGUAAAAUAACCCAACCAUAGUCUAAAUCAGCUUAACCCACAGAAACAGAAUAAGUUGGCCUUAGCCCAGAAUAGAAUUCAGAAUAAAGCCCAUAGGCCCAUAACAGAACAGAACAAAUAUUACAUGUUUAUGUAGAAACCCAACCAUAUCCAACCGUAUACACCCCCGUACCAACCUUACACCGUGUGGGGAGACAACUCGACCCACCCAACCGCUACACACCACAGAAUUUGCAGCAUGGCUACCAGAACAGAUAAUGUGACAGAGUCACCGGAUACAGAUAAUCGUGGCAGAGCCACCAAAACAGAUAUAUGUGGCAGAGCCACCAGAUCAGAUAUUUGUGGCAGAGCCACCAGAUCAGAUAUUUGUGGCAUAGAACGCUUCCUCCAUAAUAUAACCCAUGUCCCCAUGCAACAGAUAUAUAAUCAUGGCAUACAUCAUACAGAAUCAUAUAGUCAUGCUUUUCAGUCAAAAUUAACCCUAGGGGUAUAACGGUAAUUUUGCACCUAAAGGUAUAACAAUAAUUUUCCAUACAUAGGGGUAUUAUAAUAAUUUAGCUCCUUUUAGGGUUUUCAUGCAUAUCCUAACUAUUUACGUACUAUCAGAACACUUACCGCGCAUACUUACUGAAUUGGGCCCGUUGGCCCAUGAACCCGAUCUUUGGCCCAUUAAGCCCAAAUUAUCAAAAUGUACGAAAUCGCACGUACUGCGGUUUAUUACUUUAGAUUACCAAAUAUACAAACCCAACUAUCUUACGAGCAUUCGCACACUCGCAAAUUCCCAAAAUACCGACUUUUCGGCAUUUCGACUUUUCAACUUUUGCCAAUCUAGUCUAUGAGAGGGUGUCAAUUACACACCUGUUUGCGACGAUAUGCUGACGAGAUCCACACACGAACCGCCUACAAUUGGAUUACUAACACGUUAAUCUAACUAUUCAAAUACAAACUACAUAUUAACCCCUUACAAUAUUCGGCCAACCACACCUACAGAUCAUAGUAAGCUUAUAAGAGAUCAAUAAGCAACUCAUUAACAAAUUUUUGUCAAUGUUUACCACAUAAUCAUAAUUUCACUGCAAGCUGUCUUCCUGAGCAACAGUCACUAAAUUAUUUAUAACUGGAGCUACGAAACUCCAAAUCAAGUGCCGUUAAUUUUCCCUGAAAAUAGACUCAUAUAUCUUUUAUCCAUAAAAUUUUCAGAAUUUUUGGUAUGGCCAAUCAAUACCAGAGUUUUCUUAAAGUUUCCCAUGUUUCACUGUUUGACUAAUCUGACCACUCUUCAUUACGAAUCAAAUUUCUCAUUGUACAGAAUUCAAAAUAUGUUCUAGUUUAUUCCAUUUGAAACUAGACUCAUUAAGCUUUAAUUACAUAAUUUAUGCAGCUUCUAACUCAUCUCCCACAAUUUAUGGUGAUUUUCCAAAGUCACGUUACUGCUGCUGUCCCAAGCAGAUUUAUUACCAAAUCACUCUUUCACACCUAACUUGCAUGCAUGUUAUUUAAACAUGUAUAUCACCAAUCAAUCAUCACAUAUCUAUGAUUUUACUUAAGUAUAAUCUCCAUUUCAUCAUUUUAAAGCACAACAUGUUAGCUAAUUUUUCCCUUUAACAUCUAAGGCACAUGCAUGCUCAUUUGUUUGGCUCAACUUCACCUAUCUUCCAUUUUUCAUCAAAAGAACAUGAAACAACAACCAUUUCCUUCAUUUUAAUUCAUGACUAAAUAUUCACAACAUAACUAAAAAUCAAAAUAUACUUCAAGAGUUAAGGUAGAAUCAAGAAGAACUCAUGAACCUCAAAAUAGAAGCAAGGUACCAAGAACUUACCUUCAAUUUUCCUCCUCUCAAGAGCUUUCUCCUCUCCCUUCUCUUCUCUAACUUUCAGCUAUGAUGAACAAAGAUGGACAAAACUUUGUUCUUUUCACCCCUUUUUCUUUUAAUAAAACUUCAUAUUUCAUCCAUUUAAUUCUUUAAUACAAAAGACAUGAAAUUCUUAUCAUGAAACAUUUACCUAACCCAUUAUCAUGAAACAUUUACCUAACCCAUUAUCAUGGAACAUUUACCUAACCUAUUAUCAAUUUGUAUCAAUUUGUACCAUAAAUUAUGGAUAUCAAAUGUACAUUUUGUCUACAACAACAUGAUGGCUGGCCACUUCAUGUAAAAUGGGAGGUUUGUCAUGCAAAUCCUCCUAUUUUGCACUCCUAUUUAUUUGGCCACUUCAAUUUAGCCUAUAGUAUUUUCAAACAUUUUCACAUAGGUUCUAUUUCAUGAUUUCACCCCCUUUUUGUUAUAGAACAAAAAUUAACUAAAAUUGACGGGUUCUAUCUUAAGCUUGGGCUUUCUAAAGGCCCACUAACAUAAUUAAACCUAUGCCAACAUUCACAUGAUUCCCGAAAAUUGGGGCGUUACAGGUUCACUAACACUCAACCAACCACUAAACUAGCAGGCUCAUUCUGACACUAAAGCGCAGAAACAAUCCUAAAUACACGAUCUACUCAUUAACCCUUACUUGAAAGCCCAAACUUCUAACCCCAAAAACUGGGGUAUUACAAAGUAGAUAAAAAUUAGAACUACUAGGAUAUUAGUGGCAUGCCAUUAAGGGACCCUAGCGCGGUCUCCGAUUAUUAGUACAUUAGUGCUCUCCGUUUAGCACAUUUGUGCUCUCUGUUUAAUAAUGAAUAAUAAUGCAUCUUUGUAUUUGUUCCGUAUAUCCAGUGUGUUUUAUAAAGUCUACUUUGGGCUAAGAAUAUGAGUUGUGAACAAAAGUGAAUCAUCAAUUUGUUGAGGUAAGUUUGAUAACUUACAAAAGGUAAGUUAAAUUUUAUUAAAGUAAGGUAUAGUUGAAGAAACAUGUAUGUGUCUAAAUAUGUAUUUAUUGAAUAAGUUUAAAAUUUUAUGUUAUUAUUUAUUUACCUAUUUAUUCUUGUAGUGCUUACUAAGCCUUCACCAGCUUAACACGUUUAUUUUAACGCGUAGGUACAGUUAGUGUAACACCCUGAAUAAUUUAUUUAUGUUUAUGUAAAUCUUAACAUAAAUGAGUAUUUACUUCAGUGGUUAAGUGUUCUAGGUGUGUGUAUGAAGUCUUGGGUUUAAGUCCCACUUUUGGCAAUUCUAUUAUUUUUUAUUCUGGCCUUAUCUCUUCUGGGUAGGGUUUUGUAAUAUUGUUUGCAAACUUAUAUUAGAAUGAGCCUUUGAUUUGAGUGGUAAGGAGUUAAUGUGUUGGAGGUCUUGUGUUUGAAUCGUUAUGUGAGCAUAGGUGAUAAUUUUUGUUCCCGUUGUCUGUUAGAGGUUCGUUGGAGUUGGGAGUCUGAAGUAGUUGGAUGUGGUUAGUGGGGAGGAUAUUAUGGGAUGUGGUUGUUGUAGGGAGUUGAGAUAUUAAUCAAAUAGGUUUUAUUAUUAUUUUAGUUUAUUUUUUUAUUUUUCUCUCUCUUCCCAAAAUUUAAUGUCAGUUUCUGCCUCUCCUCCAUUUUUUUUCUUUUCUGCUGUUUCUAUCAUUUUGUCUCUCCUCUACUUCCUUCUUCUCUUUUACUUUUGUUUUUUCUUCAAGUCUAUUCACGCGUCUUCUAUUCUUCUAGUUGCGUUUUAGAUUUUGGUGUUCUUCAUGCGAUUUAGGUAAGAGUGGUUACUUUUGUCUUUAAAUAACGAUUUCGGUAAGCUAUUUGGAUUCAUUUUCAUUGUAGUAGCGUAGUGGUGUAGUAGGGAAUUUGAUUCUCUGUAAACGUAUUGUGUAGGAGAAGUAGGUGAAACGAUCGUUUUCGCUCCAACGGUCUGAUCUGUGCGUGUGAUCGAGUUUGAUAGUGGCAAGUACGUAAGCUUUGUUCGAUUUAGUAUUGAUGGUUUUACAAUUUUUUUGCUAAAAAGGUGUUUGAUAUUCUAUUUUUAGGUUCUAGUGGUCUCAGAAGUAGUUUCACAUCAAAACCGAACUAGAUGUGUACCCUUAAAGCGAAAAAAUAAGAUUCGACGAAAGCUUAAAAUGGGGCCUAUCGAUGCCACACGGGCGUGUGCCUGGUCGUGUGGCUAGCCGUGUAUAAGACAAGGUCGUGUGAUUGAUAAAGGUGUGGCAAUACGCUUGACACGACUGUAUGAUGUGUGAGUGUGACCGUGUGGGCCACACGGGCUAGGCCAGGUUGGGCGUAUGGCCCUACACAAACAUGCCACAUGGGCGUAUGAGUUUUGGGCCAGGCCAUAUGGACCACAUAGGUAAGGCCAAUACGAGCAUGUAGGUCACCACGUGCAUAUGGCCCUACACGGUCAUGUGGACCUAGAAAUCUGAAAUCUUUCCUAGGGUCGCACAGGUCAUCGCGUUUGAACACCCCAAACAUAAUACUAAGAAAUAAAAUUCUUAUAUAUCAACUACUAAUAUUAUUUUUGUUACUCCAAAUAUCAUAUGUAAACUAAUUUCUAAUACUUGAUAUGACACAAUCCUGCUCAUUUUACAACAGUUGAAUAAGAUUAUCUUUACAAACUCUUAUAUUAAUAUUUGAUUUAUUAUUUAAAAUUAACUUUGAAAUUAAUUUCAAAUUGUGGCUUAUUAAUGGAGUGUUGAUUUUUGUAAGGAAUAACCUCAAUACCGAAAAAAUUAGAUAAUAAUAUGAAUACUAUAGUAAUUGAAGACAUUUGUAAACUUUAUUUGUACAUAAAAACGUGAUGAUCAUAUAUAAACGUGUAAUUGUUUGACAAGAAGUCUCACCAAUUUUUUUUUAUCUUAAACAUACACUUAUAAUUCAGUGUGUCUAAGCCAAGUCCUAGGCAUAUCAAUUAGGUGUGAUGGCCCUGAUCUCAAUCCCCUGCAAAAUGAGACCACCUUUCUCGUUACCGCCCUGAAUCUCCAAUGCACUCAUUUCCAAUUCCCCAUCAUCAACACAUCCCUCAUUGAAGAACUCACCCAUCUCAACCUCUAACCACCCGUCUACUCUAGCCUUUGGGAACUGAACAUCAUUAGGUAUAGGUUGUCGAUCUAUUGGAAUACGGUCUCUUUCUGGUUCCAAAUAGGCAGCUCUUCUACUACCUUCAGUUCCAACAACUCCAACACUAAGUUGCGCUGGAUAAAAUUGAAACCCGUAAAUAUUACGUACUCUGUAUACAAGGUAGGCCUUGUAGUACGUCAUGGGUGAAAGCAUGGAGAUACUAAUCCUUCCACGGAUUUCAAACCAGCAAACGAGCCGAAGCUCUGCUACCUCGUCAAACCUAUUUUAACAUCAAUGGAAAAUGAAUUGCCAAAGAGAAGUUCUCUUAUUCAAACACAGGUAUCCAUUAAAGAUGAAUAUGCAAGUAUUUUCUCUUAAAAGAUUUUCAGUUAUUUUGAAUUUAAAAUAUGGAUUUAGACCCGGCCAGCAUGGCAAGGAGGAGAGAAUAACCUGGCCUCGGGUAUAGACACCCAUCUCCAAUACCAUGGGGUGUCGACACUACAUAUAAUGGUAAGGUCCCUGGGUGACAGCAUGUAACAUUUCUUCCCACUCCCUCUUUCCAUCCAAAAACUCUGUUUCAUCAAUAUCAACUAAAUUAUAUGUAAAGAACAAAAGAACUAAAAAUAGAUAUAAACAACAUAGGAAUUGUUAAGAAAAAGAUUCAAGCAACAAUGGCAUAGUUCGUAAUUAAUAUGUCAAAAGCUUUUCCAAAGUACUUUCUAAGCUUCUUACUUCUGUUAGUUGCCGUUUGUUUUUUUCUUUCUUUAUGGUGAAUUACCCAAAUCUCGAACAAAUUAGAUAAAAUUAGACAUAUAAGAGAAAUAUUAGACAAAAUUUCCAUAUAAAUUAAAAUAAUAUAUCUUAAUAAUUCAAUUAUUUAAAUUUAUUCUUGUUUUAUCCCAAUACAGUUUUUGCCUUCAAAAAUCAAAAGAAAAAGAAAAACCAGAUAAAAUUCCUUGGUGUUUUUUUCCCAUGUAAGGGAAACAAGCCAUAUUCAGAUCAAAGGAAAAUAAUAUUUCAAGAACUUAAAAUUCAAAAUAAUAAUAUGAUUGGACAAAACAACAUGUGAUAUUAAUAGGAUUACAAUGAUUUUGCUUUCAGAAAAUGAAGCAUCCAAAAGCUAAAUAUGACUCUUUAGAUUUUCAGAUUUUUAACCUGUAAACCCUAAAUGGACAUUAAAUUAUAUAACAAUGCUAGGGAAAUUUUUAUUACAACUUGAAAGAGAAAGGAUGAAAUUACCUUUCGUCCAGCUUCAAUGAGAAGGGGAUUUUCACAGAGGCUAAGAUAAAGUUGUUUCUUGGACGAGAAAGAGAGCGAUGAGGGAAUUAAUGCCUGGUAUUGGGAUGGCAAGAAGCUUUCCCAAACAGCAUCGGAUUCAGUAGCCGAAUUAAAAGCAGUUGAAACAGGCGACAAUCUACAGGCAUCUCGAGGAGAGGUAAAGGAAAUAAUGAGGGUGAUACAAUCUAGUGGGAGAGCACUCAGGUCGAGAGUGCCGCACAUAACCUUUCCCUUUCCUUUUCUUUCUUCCAUUUCAGAAACCUCGGUUUUCAUGAGAUCCGAAAAAUCGAUUUGUAGUAAGCGAGAUAUCAAGUAUAUAUACACGUAGAAAAAUAGGGAAGGAGAAAGUACUGAGCUUAGCGAUUAAGUCAUUGACUUGACCAAAAUCGGUUAAGUUGAAUUUUUAAAAUGUAUCAUCUUACCCAUUAUUUUAUUAAAAUAUAAAAAAUAAAAAUAUUCUCAUAUUAAUAUUUUCUUCUUUGUAAAAAAAUAAUGUCAAUCAAUGCUGGGUCUGGAUAGGUGUAUUAUUUAUCUGCAGUUAGUGUAAAAAUAACGGUGACUGUGAGAUUAAAUAUUAUAACAUAAUUAAAAAUUAUAUAAUAUAUAUAAUGUUUAUGAUUAUAUAAUAUAGAAGAAUUUUAUAAAUAUAAUUAAUAUUAUUAUAUGAUGUUAUUUAUAUAAAUUUGUAUGAAAUAUUUUUUUUGUUUAGUUGUAUGUAAUAUUUAUGGUUAUAUGAUCUAUAUAUAAAUUUUAUUUGUUUGAAUUAUUAUCUAGAAUAUAUAAUGCAUGAGUUCGGAUAAACUUUUAAAUUGACAAAAAAUAAUCUUUAUUACUCAUUAAAUUUUAAAUAUUAAAAAAUAUUUUUUACAUGCUUAAGAAUAAAAAAGUCUUGAGUAAAAUAAUUAAAAAAUCAAUUAAACUGAUAAAAAAUGUAUUCAAUUGAAAAAAAUUACAUUAAAAUUAUUAAUAUAGGUGAGUUUAAUUUAAUCAUUUCCUUGUAAUUUUUAUAUUUUUGAGGUAGUGGGAACUUGAUUUAGCUAGUUCAUGUACCAAUUUGUAAAAUUGUUAAAGUUUAUAAAAGCUUCUAUUGAUAAAUUCUUGAAGCAAUUGAUAUUAAAUUGUUAGAUUUUAAGUUUAGAAGUGAAAAAGAUUAGAUUGUAAAUUAUAAUUGCUAAUUAUUGAACAUAAUAACUAAAGUGUAUAAAUUUCGAAAUUGAUGUGAAAUUUUUGUAAUUAUACAUAAUAUAGGAUUAUAGAAGGAUAUAAUUGAGAUCGGUUUCGAAACCGAAGCUCAAAUUUGAAGGAUAUUACAAUUUCAAUUUUACGGGCUAAAUUGAAUAAAAUGUAAAACUUUAGAGACGUUUGAAAAAUGAAAUUGGAUUGAUUCAUGCAUUCAGUAGGAUAUUAUAAAAUUUUUGAGAAUUGAUAAAUUGAAUUGAAUUAUUGUUUAGAUCAAGAAUUGAGUCAAACCAAAAAUAACUGAGGAAAAGACAAAAUUAUCUAUUAGUCCUUACAAAUUCGACUUGUUUGUUGAUUUGACUAGUUAAGUUAAGUCGGAUCAAAGUUGAAGCUCACACUAUUCCAUUUUUGAUUCGGUCGUCUUUCAAACGUUUUAAAGUUCGGUUAUGUAGCAUGUACAUAGGUGUUUAUAUGUGUUAGCUUGGAACGUAGUUUGAAUCUUAUCUAAUGUUUGAUAUUUAGGAAGGUUAAUGCCAACAUGUAAAUGUAUGUUUUGGUAACAUGUUAUGGAAUUGUGAAUGACAUUAAAAUGGUAUGUUUAAGUAUGAAAUGAUAUGGUAAAAAUGAUGGCAUUGGAUGUCUAGGUGAAUGGUUGAUUAAGUUAAAGUUGAUUAAGUUUAAUUGAUAUGUUUUGAUGCCAAAUUAUGCCAUUUGGAUUGGUUGAUUUAUAAUGAUUAAAUGAAAUGUUGAAAUGUGUUUCGGUAUAUUUUGUAUAGGAAAAGUUUGGCAAACAUGCACCAAAUGUGAAAUUGGUUAGGCUGACAUGGAAUAAGUACUAAAUGGUAAAAAAUGUACCAAAAACAAAGUCCACGUCGCGAUGUUGGGCAAUGAUAGUCACGACGAGCUCUGGACUUCAGGCUACGAAGUGACGAGGAACCCUGUUGUCACAACAAGGCUAAGUUAGUAUGUCACGUCUCGAAGAGAAAAUCCCUCACGUCACGACAUCGACCUAAAGAUUUAAGACUUUUAAAAAUUAGUCAUUGUUUUAUCUCAGGCUGACUUUAGAGCAUAAAUAGGUUUGUAAAAGACUUGAGAAAAGUGGUGUAUCAUGGCUGUGGUUUAAAAUGUUUAUGUUUGCAUGUAUUAUGUCGUGAUUUGAAUGUUAAAUGUUUGUAGUUGCUCCGGCAACAGAUGUGAUAUACUGUAAUUCGGACCCGACGAUCAUGUCAGACAAAAGGUGUUAUAGAUUUGUUGUUAAUUUUAAAGUUUAAUAUAAUAUAAUAUUUACAAUAUAUUUACAAAAAUUAAAUUGUCGAAACCAUCCCUUUUUCAAAAAUUUUAAAGUUUUAAAUUUAAUGAAAAUACGGGAGAAUCGACUUUUGAAAAAUAAUGCAUGGAGUCACCACCGAUCUUUUUGUUUUGGUGUGAUCGGAUCACCUAAGAAUUUGGUUAUUUUAAUAAAACAUUUUCGGUUUACUAAAACACCGAUUAUGGUCUACGAAAAUUUUAGAAAACGGGCUCGGGAGUCGGUUACGUAUGAGGAAGGGUUAGCACCCUCACUACGCCCAAAAUUGGUACCAAAUCGAUUAAACACUGUCCUUAUGUCUAAAAUUAAAAAUGUUUUUGAAAUGUGGUUCUUUUUUAAUAACAUUUGAAUAACCCGAGUUGAUUGUCAAAAAUCUUCUUGUUUCGAUGUCAGAAAAUUUAUGAUUUGAAAAUCACAAAAGGAUGCUCAACUAUUUAGCCCACGGAAAACCGAAACCCACCACAGCAGGGCACAAUUCCUCGAAUUUCCAAACAUUGCCUCACCUUAGAAAAUACGAGUGAAAUUUCGAAGAGAUAUUCGAUUGUUUAGAACAAACGAGAGAUUGCAACCCAGCGCGAUAGGGCACGAUUCUCGAAUUGCCAAACAUCGAACAUAGCUUUUGUUUUAAAGGGUUUUUAAUAAACAUGAGUGAAAAUCUAAAGGAAUAUUCGAUCGUUUUGAACAAACGAGAAAUUAUAACCCAGCACGAUAGGGCAUGAUUCCCGAAUUGUCAAACGCCGAAUAUUGCCUUCGUUUUAGAGGAUUUUUAGAAGACCUGAAUGGAAUCUCGAAGGGAUAUUUGAUUAUUUUGAGCAAACGAGAAAUUGCAACCCAACACAUUAGGGUACGAUUCUGCGAAUUGCCAAAUAUCGAACUUUGCAUUCGUUUUAAAGAAUUUUUAAAAGGCAUGAGUGAAAGUUUGAAGGGAUAUUCGAUUAUUUCGAGCAAACGCGAAAUUGCAACCCAACACGUUAGGGCACUAUUCCGCGAAUUGCCAAAUAUCGAAUCUUGUCUUCGUUUUAAAGAAUUUUUAAAUGUAUAAUCAUAGAACUAGCUUAAAACGUCUUAAUGCGUUUUGAAAUAGGACGAAAUUGAUCAUAAAGAUUUGAAUUUUAUAAAACCACAUUUCAUAAACCACCAAAUGGAAAAUGAUGAUAAAGGAUAAUGUGCACACAUAAGAUACAAUCAAUUAGCGAACUGAAAAUUAAAUACAAUUAACCAAAAAAAUACAAUCCAAUUACAAUCAUGCAUGGGAAAUAAUUGAUAUCGUAAUACAAUGACGAAAAUAAUAAUGUAACAAUUCAACACAACCAAAACAAUACACACAAUAACAUGCCACAAUAAUAUACAUUGCAUGAUAUAAAAUAAUCAAUGCAAGAUGUAGAAAAACAACAUAGCAAUUAGAAGCUAAUGUGCCAUAAUGAUUUUAAAAUAAUAACGAAUAAAUGGACACAUAAUAUAUAGGUUGACAAACUUGUAUAAAAACUAGGAAUAGAUAUAUAAUUUUUGAAAUGGGUAUUAAAGAAUGAAAAUUUGAACCAAGUUGCAUGUAAAAUAUUUUAAACACAAAUAUAUUUAAAAGUUAACAAACUACAUGAUAAUUUAAAUAAUAUAUAAUAUAAAAGAAUGAUGAAGAUAUAUGACAAGACAUAAUACACAAAAUAGAUUUAUGAAACAUAUGUACAUGCAAGUUUAUUAUAAAAAAGGAACAUGAGAUUAAUAAUAAGGUAUAUAUAAAUUUUUAAAAUAGUCUAAAAAUUUUACAUAUGCCCUUAUAUCAAAAUAUUUAGAUAAUAGGCUAUAUGUAAAACACAAAAGCAAUAUGAAAUAUAUACAUACACUCAAAAAUAAUAAUUUUAUAAUUACAAAAAAAAUGGAGUUCCCAAAAUUAUUUCAUAUAUACAUGAAGAAAAUACUCGACAAGUUAUGAAACAAAAAGUAUUUUAAAAUAGAAAAAUCUAUUAGAGUAGUAGACUUAUUAAUAUAUAUAUAUAUGUAUAUAAGUUUAAAAACAAAUACAUGUAAAAUAACAUAGAUGUGAUAAUAUGUAUAGGGCUAAAUUAGUCUUAUUAUAUAUUAUAUACAUAAUAGAUUUUUAAAAAAAAACAUGCUUAUAUAUAAGGAGAACUUCAUGUAUAAAAUACAUGGAUUUAGUAACAUAUAUAUAUAAAUUAAAAAAUGAGUAUCAAUGGAUAUGUACAUAUGUAUGAUAAUAAUUUAAGAGAUAUAUAACGUUGAACUACAUAAUAAAGUAUAAGAAUAAACUUAAAAAAAAACAGGUGUAUAAAAAAUAUAAGGUUAAUAAUGAUAUAUAUAUGAAAUAAAAAAAAUAACUUUAAUAUAAAGUAUAUGUAUAUACAGUAGUAUAUGUGAAAAACAUUAUAAAAGGGAUUAAAGAAAAACGAAAUCAAAUCAUUAAAAUAUAUAAAGAACAGUAAGUAGACAAGGAUAAAAACAAUUGAAUGCGUCUAAAAAAGAUUGAUAAUAAGCCAUAAAAUGAAUAAAUAAAGAGAAGGGACAUAAUUAAAAGAGAAUUAAAAUGAUAGGGACAAAGUAUAAACAAAAUCAACUAACAAAAUACGAAGGGGACCGGCGUCUAACAUGCACGAAUGCGCAGGGACUGAAUAUGGAAAUAGUCCAGACCCCAAAACGCAGUGCUGAAGCUCGGACUACGUUGCGAACGCGAGCAAAUUAGGGGGAAAAAUUAAAAGAAAAAGAAAUGUGAAAUGUGAGCUGAUUUGCACACAGCGCGAAAGGAGGGGGACCAAGCACGAAAUUAUCCCCUCACCGCAAAAUCACGCGGAUCCUGGGGGUGUUCGGGUCGGGUCGUGUCGGGUGUGGCCAAUACGGUGCCGUUUUGACACCAACAUUCACAGUCUAAACGACACCGUUCUUUGAACAUCUUUAUAUCAAAGUUUGCCCUAAGAAUCUAUUCGGCCGACUCUCUCAAAAAUCUUUGCAAAUGCUUCACAAACCCAUCUUCCUCUCAGUCAAUCCGCAAGCUUCAUCGGCGCCGGAUGCACCUCCACCAUCGACGCGAUUUUAAUCGGACCCCCAAGGAUCUGAUGACCCUUUGACCGGAGAGGCAAAGGAGGAAUGAAUCGACACCGAAUCAGUAAGCCAAUCCUUUCCCCACCUUUUGUAUUUUCAUGACAAAUUCAAAAUAGAGAAAGAAAAUAAAGAAAACGAAGAAGUAACAACCAAGAUUAAUGAACGAAUCGCUUUAGAGUAUAUUUGCUUCCGUAUUCAAAUGCUAUUUAAGCGUAAUAUAUGAAAAAGGAAGGAAAAUAAUCAGAUCUUAAAUCACCUCUUGAAAACUGCUUUUUUUCAAACUCUCUUUUGAUACCGAUUUUUUACUACUAUUUAUUAUUAUUGCUUCAAAAUAAGACAGAAAGAACACAUAAAAGCAAAGAAAAGGAACAACCUUUGGGGUUUGAAUUCGAUUUCUCUUUCAAAAUCGCCUCUUUUUUUUAGUAUUGGAUAUCUGUAUUCAAUGUGCGUACCUUCUCUUACAAUGAAAAUAAGGCUUUUAUAUAGCCGAAAAUAAAAAGAAAAAAAUACAAAGAAUUUCAUUUUCCGUUCUUUUUCUUUGCUGCUGUUUUUUGCUUUGUUUUUGCUUGUCCUUGCUGUUGUGUUUGUCUGUUUCUUUGCAGGUGCGGAGGUACAGGGCCAGCUGUGGCGUACGGCUCGUUGUUGUGGAGGCGUGGACGUGGCCGUGCUGGAGGGUUGCGGCUACUAGGGAAACCCUAGGUUUCUGUUUAGCUGAAGUUGUUUUAGUUUUGGGCAGUUUGGGCCACGGGUAUUUUGGGCUAGGGUUUUAGCUAAUGGAUUUUAAUUAGGUCUUGGGUUAUGUAUUUAAUUUUAGGUUUUGGACUGUAAAAUGGGCUGAUGGACUGUUAAUAAAUAAUAUUUAUUGGGUUAUUAUUUUUUUUUGUUUUUUCGUUUUUGUGUUGUAACGGGCCGGGCAAAUUUUGGGCCUUACAUAAAUACUUAUCAAUUUACAUUUUAUUUUUAUAUGAAUAUUAUCAUAUAAUUAUUUUAAUUAUUAAUGUCUAUUUCAUUAUAAAGUUGGACUUUUUCAAGUUUUAGAUCAAAUCUAUCACAGACAUCAGCUUGGAUUGAUCUCAAGCUCAAGUCGAUUUUGGGCUCAAAUUAACUCAAGCUCGAGCUUUCUUGGGUUUAGAUUUUUCUCGAAUUUGGAUUUUUUUGAGCUCAAAUAAUCAUAGGCCCGGAUUUUCUUGAACACGGAUCGUUACGGUCUUAAAUAGGCACGAGCGGGCUUUCAAGCUCAAGCCUAUUUUCUCAGCUCUACUAAAAGUAUAUAUUUUUUUAAAGAUAACUUGACAUCUAUGAGUGUUGAGGUUCUUUAUUUUUUGUGACUGGCCAAGUUUUUUGAGCCCUUCGGGAUUAGGGAGGAGAUUAUGGAAGAAAUCUAGACAUUAAAUGAACCUGGACACCUUUUAAUGCCCAUAUUCUUUCUAGAAUCCCCUCUCUAAUAUCAAGGUGUCCAAAUCAUGAUUUCCUUAAAAUUUAAAUUUAUUUCAAUAUCUUUAGUUGUCAAUGUCCAUUUAGAUUUUAGAAAAUCUUAACCCUAGUUGUUAAGUUUUUUCAAAAAAAAAUAAUUAGAGAAAUGGAAAAUUAAAAUGGACUUUGAUGCCUUUGAGGGUCAAGAUUCAUUUAAAAAUCCUAAUGAUCUUUUUAACAUAAUAGAAAAUAUUUUAAAAAAUUAAACAUAACUAAACAUUCAUGGUGUCGAGAUCCAUUUAAAUAGUUGAUCUCACUUGUUUAUUUCUCAUAUAAAACUAAAAAAAUCAUUUAUAUUAUAAAUUAUCUACAUACUCAUAAAUUUCUAACCCAAUUUUUAAAAUUUUAUAACGGUUGUAUCUUUGAAAUGAAUUUCAAGUUGCAACUUAUUAAUCCAGUGUUCGCCUUUCUAAAAAAAUUUGGAUAAUAAUAUAAAUAUUAUAGUAAUUGAAGACAUUUGUAAACUUUAUUUGUACAUAAAAAUGUAACGACACUUUUUUAAAAAAAUUUCUUUGAUUAUAAUACAUUCUUAAUUUUUUUAUAUUAAUAUAAAAAUAUUUUUUGAAUAAUACAUUAUUUAUCCAUUCAUCGCAUAAAUAUAAAAAUUAAUAUUAUAUAUAUAAAGUGUAAAAUGUUGACCAAAACAUAAAAUUAACACAAACAAAUUUAAUAAUUCUAUAAGUUAUAUAUAUAUAUACGACCAUAUAUAAACGUGUAAUGGUUUGCCAAGAAGUCUCACCAAUUUUAUUCAUCUUAAACAUACACUUACAAUUCACUGUGUCUGAGCCGAGUCCUAGGCAUAUCAAUUAGGUGUGAUGGCCCUGAUCUCAAUCCCCUGCAAAAUGAGAUCACCUUUCCGGUUACAGCCCUCCAUCUCCAAUGCACUCAUUUCCAGUUCCCCAUCAUCAACGCAUUCCUCAUUGAAGAACUCACCCAUCUCAACCUCUAACCACCUGUCUACUCUAGCCUUUGGGAACUGAACAUCAUUAGGUGGCCGUCCCCGUGGUAGCAAAUAGGCAACUCUUUUACUACCUUCAGUGCCAACAACUCCAACAUUAAGUUUCACUGGAUAAAAUUGAAACCCGUAAACAUUACGUACUUUGUAUACAAGGUAUGCCUUGUAGUGCGUCAUGGCUGAAAGCAUGGAGAUACUAAUCCUUCCACGGAUUUCAAACCAGCAAACGUGAAGAAGCACUGCUACCUCGUCAAACCUAUUUUAACAACAAUGGAAAAUGAAUUGCCAAAGAGAAGUUCUCUUAUUCAAACACAGGUAUCCAUCAAAGAUGAAUAAGCAAGUAUUUUCUCUUAAAAGACUUUCAAUUAUUUUGAAUUUAAAAGAUGGAUAAGCAUCCUAUUGUUAUCAUUUAGACCCAACCAGCAUGGCAAUCAAGAGAGAAAAACCUAGCCCCACGCGUAGAAAUCCAUCUCCUAUAACCUGGGGGGCCACUCCGUAUAAUGGAGAGGUUCCUGGGUGACAGCAUGUAACAUUUCUUCCCACUCACUCUGUCCAGCCAAAAACUCUGUUUCAUCAAUACCAACUAAGUUAUAUGUAAAGAACAAAAGAAAUAAAAAUAGAUAUAAACAACACAUAGGAAUUGUUAAGAAAAAGAUUCAAGCAACAAUGGCAUAGUUCAUAAUUAAUAUGUCAAAAGCUUCUCCAAAGUACUUUCUAAGCUUCUUACUUCUGUUAGUUGCCCUUUUUUUUUUUUGGUGAAUUACGCAAAUCCCGAACAACAAACACGAUUAGAUAAAAUUAGACAUAUAAGGAAAAUAUUAGACAAAAUUUCCAUAAAAAUUAAAAUAAUAUAUCUUCAUAAUUCAAUUAUUUAAAUUUGUUCUUGUUUUAUCCCAAUACAGUUUUUGCCUUCAAAAAUCACAUAUCUUGUUAAUUUAAUUAUUUAAAUUUAUUUUUUGUUUUAUCCAAAUACACUUUUUGCCUUCAAAAAUUAAAAGAAAAAAGAACCACAAGAAUAAAUUAGUUGCUAUUUUUCCACUUAUAAGGGAAACAAACCAUAUUAUCAUCAAAGGCAAAUAAUAUAUUUCAAAAAGAAGCUUAAAAUUCAAAAUAGUAAUAAUGUUGGACAAAGGCAACAUGUGAUUUUAUGUUUCAAUUACUAUUUACUUAGAUUUUUCAUAGGUGGCUAUCCGCUCAAGCUUGAAGGCCUAUCUGAAAUUUAAGAGAGUUUGGGUAAAAAAUAUUAGGCUCGAAAAAUAAGUUUAGAAAAAAAAUUAGACCCAAUUAAAAAUGAGUCAAGCUCGGUCUUGAACAUUCAAGGUCUAAGUUCAACCCGACUCGACCUAUUUUUAAGUUUAUAAUAUUUUAUAUUAUGUUAUUUUUAUAAAUUAUCUAAUUUAAAACAUAUUAAAAAUAAUAAUGUUAAAAUGAGUAUAUAAAAAAUUUCAAUAAAUAAAAAAUUUAUAAAAUUAUUAAACAUUAAAAUAAUAUAAUAUAAAUAUUUUAAAAAAUUAAAAAUAAUAUAAGUAGGCCUAAAAUAGGCUUGGGUUAGUCUUUUGUAAACAAGUAGGUUUAAGCAAAAUUUUAAGCCCAUAUUUAAGGUCAGGGCGAACUUGGGCAAAUAUAAAAUAUGUUAAUAUCACGCAUAGACCCAAACCCAGCCUAUGAGCACCUCUAUAUUUACUGUAUAAUUUUACUUUUAGAAUAUGAAGCAUGUAUCUAAAUUUCAUUUUUGGGUUAAAAUUUUCAAAUUAUUAACUUCUGUCCUAAAUGUAAAUUAAAUUAUAUAAAAAUGCUAAGGAAUUUUUCAAUGCAAUUUAAAGAAGAAAAAACCUAAAGGAGAGGUAGAGAAAGAGAGGACGAAAUUACCUUCCGUCCACCCUCAAUGCGGACAGGAUUUCCGCCUAGACUAAGAUAAAUAUCUUUCUUGGAAGAGAAAGAGUCCAAUGUAGGAAUUAAAUCCUGGUAUUGACAUGGCAACAAGCUUUCCCAAGCAGUAUCCAAUUCAGCAGUCGAUAAUCUGUAAAUUUUAUUAUCCAUAAUUCAAUUGGUAUUCUAACAAAUAAUAAUUCAAUCAAAAAAAUAUAAACUCACGAAUCCAAGCCCAAAUUUGAGUCACAUAGAUUAGGCGUGACGGACCUGAUCUCAAUCCCCUGGAAAAUGAGAUCACCUUUCACGAUACCGCCCUCAAUCUCCAAUGCACUCAUUUCUAGUUCCCCAUCAUCAACGCAUCCCUCAUUGAAGAACUCACCCAUCUCAACCUCUAACCACCCGUCUACUCUAGCCUUUGGGAACUGAACAUCAUCACCGGGUAUAGGUUGUUCCUCUCCUAUCUGCCAAUAUGGCCAUCUCCGUCGUUCUUUUUUUGGUUGCAAAUAGGCACUUCUUUUACUACCUUCAGUGCCAACAACUCCAACACUAAGUUUCACUGGGAAAAAUUGAAGCCCACAAAAAUUACGUACUUUGCAUACAAGGUAAGCCUUGUAGUGCGUCAUGGGUGAAAGCAUGGAGAUACUAAUCCUUCCACGGAUUUCAAACCAGC
rnacentral:lncRNA from 1 species